AAAUAAAAAAGAACAGCAGAAGGUCACCAACAGGUCUUCAAUGUAGCGAGAAAUUCCCGCACCCGGAGGCGUCCUUCAGCUGGCCCCUAAACAACUAUAUACUAGUUCAGUGAUAAUGAACGCCCUACUAAUUUCCAAAUUGUACACAAGAAACUAAAAUUAAAAUAAUACAAGACUAACAAAGGCCAGAAGCUCCUGACUUGGGACAGGCGCAAAAAUGCGGCGGGGUUAAACAUGUUUGUGAGAUCUCAACCCUCCCCCUAUACCUCUAACCAAUGUAGAAAAGUAAACGCAUAACAAUACGCACAUUAAAAUUCAGUUCAAGAGAAGUCCGAGUCUGAUGUCAGAAGAUGUAACCAAAGAAAAUAAACAAAAUGAC
rnacentral:lncRNA from 1 species